UAUUGCAAGAGUUCCCUAUUUUGGUUAGUGCCACUGUUCCAUUUUUGUACUUUUGAAAACUUUCAAAAGUUAAUCUCCGGCCAAUGUUAGGAUACUAUCCUUCAUUGCAAAUCUAACUAGCUUUUAUGUCCUUGAAUGCUGACGAGAUUUAUGAUCCUGCUACUGGCGAUGGAAUGGAAUGAUCUUUGGUUAAUGGUCAUAAU
rnacentral:misc_RNA from 1 species